rfam:Methylophaga lonarensis MPL Contig113, whole genome shotgun sequence.
AAGUAGGCGGGCGACGUGAACCUUGUCGGACAGGGGAACAUCMKCCAAGGYKAAAUACUCCUUAUACGACCGAUAGUGAACCAGUACCGUGAGGGAAAGGCGAAAAGAACCCCGUUGAGGGGAGUGAAAUAGAACCUGAAACCGUGUGCGUACAAGCAGUGGGAGCCCCAUCACUAAGCUAUUUUUUUAGUGAUGCGUUAUUAAACACCUUUGAUUGGGAGGUGGCGAGCGAGAGCGAGCCCAACCAACAAAACAAGCCGCCAUCAGCAAAUGGUGAGCGAGCGUUUUGUUGAGGUGGCGAGCGAGAGCGAGCCCAACCUAACAAAACAAGCAGAGGUAGCUUAGUGAUGGGGUGACUGCGUACCUUUUGUAUAAUGGGUCAGCGACUUAAUUUCAGUAGCGAGCUUAACCGAAUAGGGGAGGCGAAGGGAAACCGAGUCUUAAUAGGGCGACGAGUUGCUGGGAUUAGACCCGAAACCUGGCGAUCUAUCCAUGGUCAGGCUGAAGGUGAGGUAACACUUACUGGAGGGCCGAACCCACGUCUGUUGAAAAAGACGGGGAAUGAACUGUGGAUCGGAGUGAAAGGCUAAUCAAGCCAGGAGAUA